rnacentral:rRNA from 1 species
UACAGAGGUCUCAAGCGUUGUUCGGAUUCACUGGGCGUAAAGGGCGCGUAGGCUGCGGGGCAAGUCGGGUGUGAAAUCUCAGAGCUCAACUCUGAAACUGCAUUCGAUACUGCCGUGCUUGAGGACUGGAGAGGAGACUGGAAUUUACGGUGUAGCGGUGAAAUGCGUAGAUAUCGUAAGGAAGACCAGUGGCGAAGGCGGGUCUCUGGACAGUUCCUGACGCUGAGGCACGAAGGCCAGGGGAGCAAACGGG